AGUUAACAUUCGUUUUACUUUAGUUUCGGGGGAGGGGGACGGGAGAGAGGGAGAGAGGGAAAGAAGGACAUGGAAACUUACAGUGAAAUUUUCGUUGUUUAUAGCUUUCUUGGGGAAGAAAACACAUGCACAAAUCCUGGUGUAAGGAAUAUUUUAAGCAUAUAUCUUCAAUAUCAUUCAUCCAGGACCGAGCAAGACCAACACUCUUCCUCCUCCUCUGCCUACUCAAUGUGAAGACAAUGAGGAUGAACACCUUUAUGAUGCUCCACUUCCACUUAUUGAAUAGUGCUACACAUGAAACUUGUAACCAGUUACUACAGGCGAAAGCAAAUCCAUGUCUUCAGGCUGGUGUCAUCAGGGAGAGAAGCUUUGGUUUCCACAUAAGGAUAUAAGAUCAUUGAUGUAAAACAAGACAUGUAACCUCUCAAAUUGAGAGAAUGGAUUGGAGAGAUAUUGUUGACCAUGUUUUCCCCUGUAUCUCACCUUCCCCUCUCCAAGACUUCCUUGUCAGUUACCCAUAUUGAUAUCAGUUUAUCCACAUCCAUGCUUUCAAGUUUAAACAAAGAAACUAGGCAAAGGCAGCUAUGUAUUCGCUAGGAUUAGGGAGGAGAAGAUAAUGAACCACUGGAUAGUGAGAAGAAAGAGAGGUGGAGAAAGUGAGAGACCCCAGUAACAGAGGACAGGGACACAUUGCUAAGGAUAGGGACACAUUCACUGUAAUAUAGAAGGCCAUGCUUAUAUGUAAAAUAUGCAGUAAUUGUAUAUAUAUGUACAAAAGUGAUGACACACAUAUGCACAUAAACAAAACACAAUUACUGUCUAUGUUUCUUUAUUUGUGACCUAAUGUUUUAUGUUGUUUGUAACUGAAAAAAAAAUUCCCUUCUGAAUAAAAUGUCAAUUUUGCGAUUGCA
rnacentral:lncRNA from 1 species